rnacentral:rRNA from 1 species
UACGUAGGGUGCAGCGUUAAUCGGAAUUACUGGGCGUAAAGCGUGCGCAGGCGGUUGUGCAAGACCGAUGUGAAAUCCCCGGGCUUAACCUGGGAAUGGCAUUGGUGACUGUACGGCUAGAGUGUGUCAGAGGGGGGUAGAAUUCCACGUGUAGCAGUGAAAUGCGUAGAGAUGUGGAGGAAUACCGAUGGCGAAGGCAGCCCCCUGGGAUGACACUGACGCUCAUGCACGAAAGCGUGGGGAGCAAACAGG